ensembl:lncRNA
AGGGUAGGCAGCAGGUGAGGCAGGAAACUGGUAAUCUGGAGGUGCCAGAGAUUUUUCCUCUGUAGUAAAAAGGUACAGAGGAGGGAGCUGUAGGAAGAGCUCCCCUUCUCCAGAGCUGAAGUUCGGCAGCUGCAGCCCCAUGUGAUCGGACAUCAAAGAUGUGACAGCCAGUGAUCAAGAUAAUUGAUAAAGAUGCUGGAUAGGAGUGGCCCCAGUACUGAGCCCUGGGGGAAACCGCUUGUGACUGGCUGCCACUUGGAUUGAACUCCAUUGGCCACAACUCUUUGGGCCUGGCCGUCCAGCAGUGUUUCACCCAGUGGAGUGUAUGCCCAUCCAAACCCCGGGUAGCCAGUUUCUUCAUGAGGAUGUUGUGGCAGACAGUGUCAAAGGCUUUAGUGAAGUCCACGUGAACCACAUCAACAGCCUUACCUUCAUCCACUAAGUGGGUCACCUUGUCAUAGAACAAAGUCAGGUUUGUCAAACGGGAUCUACCCUUCAUGAACCCAUUCUGACUCGGCGUGAUCCCCUGCUAGAUCUUUAAUUGAUCCACGAUGGCUCCCAAGAUUAUCUGUUCCAUAACCUUCCCUGGCACCAAGGUGAGACUGAUAGGUCUGUAGCUACCUGGAUCAUCUUUCUGGCCCUUUUUGAAGAUGGACAUCACAUCUGCCAGUCUCCUGUCCACUGGGAUGUCCCCGGUUAGCCAGGACUGUUGAAGGAUGAUGGAGAGUGGCUUGGCAACCACAUCUGCCAAUUCCCUCAGUAUUCUAGGGUGCAAUCCAUCUGGCCCCAUGGGCUUGUGAGUGUCCGGCUUUUGGAACAGGUCCAAAACCACCUCAUCAUGGAUUAUGCGGGGCCCAUUCUGUUCCCCUCCCCUGUCUUUCAGCGCAAGAGGCUGUGUGCCCAGGGAACAACUAGUCUUACUAUUAAAGACUGAAGCAAAGAGAGCAUUAAGUACCUCAGCUUUAUCCUGAUCCUCGGUCACUGUGUUCCCCUCUGCUUCCAACAGGGGAUGCAGAUUCUCCCUAGCAUUCCUCUUACUGUUGAUGUGUUUAUAGAAAUACUUCUUGUUGUCUUUCGCCUUAGUGGCCAUGUUCAGUUCUAGCUGGGCUUUGGCCUUUCUAAUUUUCUCCCUAUGCAGAUUCACUACGUAUUUGUAAUCCUCAUGAGUUGCUUGUCCUCUCUUCCAAAGACCACAGAUUUUCCUUUUGUUCCUGAGUUCCAGCCAGUUCCAAAGUGCCCAGCUUGUGUAAUGUAUUUGUGGAUUUUUAAAACUGGGAGGGUUUGACUUGCUAUGAAAUAGCCUUGCUACUUUAUUAUAGACAACAGACAUCACUGAACUUUUUCUUUUAAUUCCCUUUGAAAAUAGUGCUUUCCUCAUUCUGUGUCACAGAGAGAGCUUGGGUUGAAUGGGCUGAAAAAAAUGUGAUGAUUGCCUAGGAUUUAUAUGUAAAGUUUUUAAAUCCAAAUUGGUUACUUAGAAUGCUCAUACAUUUUCCCCUACACCCCCCAAAAAUUCUAAAUUUGUGGAUCAGUGCAACAUGGUUUUCCAAAUAAAAGCAAACAGUGUGUCCUCAGCCUCCCUCAGAAGUACUUUGUACAAACUCUGAGAGGGAAAAAAAAGUAUUGCUAAUGUCUAAAGCUAUACUGACUCCCAAAAUAAGCUUUCCUAGAUUCACUG